CUGGUUUGCCAUUGUCAAUCGGUUGUUAUCACCACAUUGGGCUAUGGAAUAGUUUGGAAAGAGCAACUAAAAAUCGCAAAAGCUUCCCACUUUUUCUACAAAGCCCAAUCGAAUGGUACUAACUCUUUCCUUUGGUUUUGUUUUACAGAUGACUCCCAAACGCACAAAGCAGCAUCUAGAAUCAAGCCACCAUACACUCAGGGUGAACCAGAGGAUUACACUGUUCCCUUUUCUUACCCAUCGACAUGGGAAGAGGGAACCGAGAUCUCCAUCACAGACGAGAACAUCCCUAAGAAAUCGGAGACAAGAUGGGAUAAAGAAGCCUCACGCCGCUACAACACUCUGCUCAACACCAACAUCUUCCCGACCCAUUUCGUCGACGCCGGGGCCUUGAGUGAUUUAGGCCUCCAUAAGGACUUACAUGCGGUUCUCCAAAUGUUGGGAA
rnacentral:lncRNA from 1 species